GGGUUGUGAGGUUAAGCGACUAAGCGUACACGGUGGAUGCCCUGGCAGUCAGAGGCGAUGAAGGACGUGCUAAUCUGCGAUAAGCGUCGGUAAGGUGAUAUGAACCGUUAUAACCGGCGAUUUCCGAAUGGGGAAACCCAGUGUGAUUCGUCACACUAUCAUUAACUGAAUCCAUAGGUUAAUGAGGCGAACCGGGGGAACUGAAACAUCUAAGUACCCCGAGGAAAAGAAAUCAACCGAGAUUCCCCCAGUAGCGGCGAGCGAACGGGGAGCAGCCCAGAGCCUGAAUCAGUGUGUGUGUUAGUGGAAGCGUCUGGAAAGGCGCGCGAUACAGGGUGACAGCCCCGUACACAAAAAUACACAUACUGUGAGCUCGAUGAGUAGGGCGGGACACGUGGUAUCCUGUCUGAAUAUGGGGGGACCAUCCUCCAAGGCUAAAUACUCCUGACUGACCGAUAGUGAACCAGUACCGUGAGGGAAAGGCGAAAAGAACCCCGGCGAGGGGAGUGAAAAAGAACCUGAAACCGUGUACGUACAAGCAGUGGGAGCACAGAGCAAUCUGUGUGACUGCGUACCUUUUGUAUAAUGGGUCAGCGACUUAUAUUCUGUAGCAAGGUUAACCGAAUAGGGGAGCCGAAGGGAAACCGAGUCUUAACUGGGCGUUAAGUUGCAGGGUAUAGACCCGAAACCCGGUGAUCUAGCCAUGGGCAGGUUGAAGGUUGGGUAACACUAACUGGAGGACCGAACCGACUAAUGUUGAAAAAUUAGCGGAUGACUUGUGGCUGGGGGUGAAAGGCCAAUCAAACCGGGAGAUAGCUGGUUCUCCCCGAAAGCUAUUUAGGUAGCGCCUCGUGAAUUCAUCUCCGGGGGUAGAGCACUGUUUCGGCAAGGGGGUCAUCCCGACUUACCAACCCGAUGCAAACUGCGAAUACCGGAGAAUGUUAUCACGGGAGACACACGGCGGGUGCUAACGUCCGUCGUGAAGAGGGAAACAACCCAGACCGCCAGCUAAGGUCCCAAAGUCAUGGUUAAGUGGGAAACGAUGUGGGAAGGCCCAGACAGCCAGGAUGUUGGCUUAGAAGCAGCCAUCAUUUAAAGAAAGCGUAAUAGCUCACUGGUCGAGUCGGCCUGCGCGGAAGAUGUAACGGGGCUAAACCAUGCACCGAAGCUGCGGCAGCGAC
rnacentral:rRNA from 1 species